rnacentral:rRNA from 1 species
UUGGACCUGAUAUCAGGCAAGAUUACCCGCUGAAUUUAAGCAUAUAACUAAGCGGAGGAAAGAAACUAACAAGGAUUCCCCUAGUAACGGCGAGUGAAGCGGGAUGAGCUCAAGCUUAAAAUCUCCAUACGAGUUUCGUGUGGCGAAUUGUAGUCUAUAGAGGCGCUGUCAGUGCGGCUGUUUGGGACAAGUCUCUUGGAAAAGAGCAGCAUGGAGGGUGAUACUCCCGUUCCUGCCUGAGCAGCUUGCGCGUACGACACGUUUUCUUUGAGUCGCGUUGUUUGGGAAUGCAGCGCAAAGUGGGUGGUAAAUUCCAUCUAAAGCUAAAUAUUGGUGCGAGACCGAUAGCGAACAAGUACCGUGAGGGAAAGAUGAAAAGAACUUUGAAAAGAGAGUUAAAGAGUACCUGAAACUGCUGAAAGGGAACCGAAUCGUUUCCAGUGUCUAUAAUCCGUAGCAUAUUUCAUCGGCGAGUGGAUGUGUGCAGUGUUAAUGGCAGCGGCUUGCUGCGCCUUGCAUUGUUCUACGUUUACUUGCUGGUGCCCUGUGUUGCGGUGGGACGUCAAAGUCAGUUCGUAUACUGCGGGAAAUGGUCGUCGAGGAGGUAGGUGCAUUAGCACUGUUAUAUCUCGGCUGACUAGUCGUCGUGGUUGGGACUGAGGUGCCUACAAUGUGCUUUAAAGUCUUGCGGAUGCUCAUUUGGCCGACUGUUUGGAUAGCUUGCUAUGUCUGCGGUUUGGUUGGGUGAUUGUGUUUGUAAGUAACUUUUGCCGUUCGGGACUUUGACGAAAUGGAGCGAUCCGACCCGUCUUGAAACACGGACCAAGGAGUCUAACAUGUGUGCGAGUGUUAGGGUGUGGAAACCCCAGCGCGUAAUGAAAGUAAAGGGCAGCGUUAGUUGUCUGAGGUAGGAAACCUUUCCUUGUGAGGGGUGGCACUAUCGACCGAUCAUGAACCUUCGUGGUGAAAGAUUUGAGUAUGAGCACAUAUGUUGGUACCCGAAAGAUGGUGAACUAUGCCUGAGUAGGGUGAAGCCAGGGGAAACUCUGGUGGAAGCUCGCAGCGAUUCUGACGUGCAAAUCGAUCGUCAAACUUGGGUAUAGGGGCGAAAGACUAAUCGAACCAUCUAGUAGCUGGUUCCCUCCGAAAUUUCCCUCAGGAUAGCAGCAACUUAUUUACGAUAGUUUUAUGAGGUAAAGCGAAUGAUUAGAGGAAUUGGGGAAGAAACUUCCUUGACCUAUUCUCAAACUUUAAAUCUGUAAGACCUGCAGGUUUCUUAAUUGAACUUGUGGAUGUGAAUAUCAAGUUGCUAGUGGGCCAUACGGGGUAAGCUCGUCUGGCGAUGCGGGAUGAACCGAACGCAAAGUUAAAGUGCCAAAGUGCCCGCUCACCUAGAUACCAUAAAAGGUGUUGGUUCAUUUAGACAGCAGGACGGUGGCCAUGGAAGUCGGAAUCCGCUAAG